UACGAAGGGGGCUAGUGUUGCUCGGAAUUACUGGGCGUAAAGCGCACGUAGGCGGUUUCUUAAGUCGGGGGUGAAAUCCUGGAGCUCAACUCCAGAACUGCCUUCGAUACUGGGAAACUUGAGUCCGGGAGAGGUGAGUGGAACUGCGAGUGUAGAGGUGAAAUUCGUAGAUAUUCGCAAGAACACCAGUGGCGAAGGCGGCUCACUGGCCCGGUACUGACGCUGAGGUGCGAAAGCGUGGGGAGCAAACAGG
rnacentral:rRNA from 1 species